UUCAUCUGGUUUAUCUUUAUAUUGAAUACAUCUUCUGCCUUUUACUAAAGAUUCCUGUCGAAAUGAACAACCCUGAGUUAUAUCAAGUAUUUUGUUGGGCCUGAAUAUUAUGAAAUGUUG
ensembl:snRNA U5 U5 spliceosomal RNA